AGGAGGGGGAAAAGGUCGCUGUUCUUCAGCACCACGAGUCUGUCAAACAGAAGACGUGUGCUUCACAAGCGAUUUCAGAUCACCUUGCCUUUUGACUGCACUUCAGAGAAGAGCGAUGCCAAGCGCUCUCAUGGCCAAAGCGUGUUUUAUUUUUUACUUUUAGAAUGAGCAUUAGACCUUACAUACAGUGGCAUGAAAAGAACAUCUUCCUCCAUAAAAUAUCUAACGCCGCCUAGUGGUUAAAUAGAAGUAUAUAGCUGAUAUUUCGUAGGACUGUUUCAAUUUCUCAGAAUAAGGCGGGUAUGGAAGUUAAUCGGCAUUUUAGAGCGCUCUUUCUAUAGCGAAUGCAGGCAUGAGUGUGGCGCAAAAGGCAAACGCUACAUUCGAAUUAAAACUAUAGAAACAUCGGUGAUGAAAGGAACUGUAGAAUCGAACAAAGACUGAAACUGGCGAGGUUUAUCCCAAAAGUUCGGGAGCACACUGCACAUCAAAAGAUAAGUCAAGACGAUCUCGGAAGGGUAGUGCUUGGCCUUUUUCUUUCCCAUCACUGAAGGUCCACAGAGCCCAACCCAAAGACAGUGGGUCAUCGGCGAAAGGAUCAGUUUGCCUGAAGGGACCAGACAAGGUAUUCUGCCUCAGCGAGAAGGGAUCCGAGAUGUAGGUACCAGACACAGGGAGAGUUUUCCCUGGGAGCAUUGUAUCGCUGUUCUGUGUGCCUUCCUCACAGGGGGAGUCCUUCCGGACACAUAUUUCUGGCCUAAGGGUGCCAAUGCCUGGGAGAACGGCAUGAGGAAGUCCAAACAGAACGUGGACCUGCUGCUCGUGGAUGAACAACAGCAGGGGAAAGGGUGCCUGGGGCCUUGUUUCGAGCAGAUUAGUCCAAUGGAGGAGGGGACAGUGGAGGGCCUGAUAACACUCAGAGAAGCAGAUGUGCUCCGGGUGCUCCCUAAUGAUCUUCCUGCAGCACUUCACGGUAUGACAAAAGUGCUGCAUGGGCACCUGGAUUCCCCUCUGGCAGCACUUCCCGGUGUGGCGGCAGUGGUGUAGUCCAUGGCUCCAGAAUCAUCCAAGUGCCCUCUCGUGUCCCAGUGGAGGUAUUGCCUCUCUCCCGGUCUUCUCAUCCUCCAGGCGUCCCAGCUGGGCAAGAGCCACAGUGUUUAUCUUUUAUAUUACCAGGAUGCCUGUAUACAAGACUGGAAUCAGCACUGGACGGAAUAGUAGUCGAUUGUUUGUUCUUCCACACUUACCUUAAACAUGGAAAAGGCACUAUAUAAAUAAAAUGUAUUAUUAUUAUUAUUAGUAGUAUUACACUUAAAAUCAAACCAGUUUAAGGUCAGCAAAUAUUCUAAUGUGCCCAUCCCCGGGGUGUGGCAGGAAAUUGCUGAAAUUACUCUCUUGGUUUGUCUCUGAAAAUUACAGAGGUGUUAGCAUUCAAUGCACGUCUGAAAACCCAUCUUUUGCCUCUUGCAUUUCAUAUCAGCUAGACAUGUGGUUAUUUUAUGUUGAAACUGACUCUUCUAUGUCAGUCUUACUGAUGUUGACUUUGCUAUGCGGUUUCUCAGUUCUUGCUGUCAAUCUACUAUUAUAAAAGUUCAGUUCACGUUUACUUUUGUAGGUCUUCCCAGGGUUUGCUUCUUUGUGCCUUAUCAUGAAUUUGAAAUAUCAUCUUGGUUUGAAUUGUGUUCUUGUGUACUUUGUAAUUCUGUGCUCUGUGAAAGGUGUUAAACAAAAUAAAGUUUGAC